rnacentral:rRNA from 1 species
UAAGGAAUAUUGGUCAAUGGGCGAAAGCCUGAACCAGCCAUGCCGCGUGCAGGAAGACGGCCCUACGGGUUGUAAACUGCUUUUGUACGGGAAUAAACCUACUUAUGUAUAAGUAGCUGAAUGUACCGUAAGAAUAAGGAUCGGCUAACUCCGUGCCAGCAGCCGCGGUAAUACGGAGGAUCCAAGCGUUAUCCGGAUUUAUUGGGUUUAAAGGGUGCGUAGGCGGCCUAUUAAGUCAGGGGUGAAAGACGGUAGCUUAACUAUCGCAGUGCCUUUGAUACUGAUAGGCUUGAAUGUACUUGAGGUAGGCGGAAUGUGACAAGUAGCGGUGAAAUGCAUAGAUAUGUCACAGAACACCAAUUGCGAAGGCAGCUUACUAAAGUAUGAUUGACGCUGAGGCACGAAAGCGUGGGGAUCAAACA